rnacentral:lncRNA from 1 species
UGCUGCUACACCAUCGCACCCACAGCCCUGCCCCCAGCCCCGCCCCCGCCCCUGCCCCAGACCCCACCCCCACAGGGGAGACCAGCAGAGCUGGCACCAAGGUUCUGGUCUCUGAUGCCUACUUGCAGCCCCGCAGCCCACCUGAGCCUCCAGCCCCACCACCCCAGCCCCCACCUGUGGUGCCCGAAUUCUUUUUGGCUGCUGCUGAGACUACAGUGGAGCUGGUAUACCGCUGCGAUGGUUGCGAGCAGGGCUUCAGUAGCGAGGAGCUCCUCUUGGAGCACCAACCAUGCCCAGGUCCCACUGUGGCCACCCAGCCCCAGGAUGUGCCUGCCGAGCUGCCCCAGGCUGACUCUGCUCUGCAGCCCCCACCUGCCACUACUGGCCCUUCUAAUUUUGCUUGCCUUCCUUGCGGGAAAUCCUUCCAGACAGUGGCAGGCCUGUCCCGUCACCAGCACAGCCAUGGUGCGGCCAGUGGACAGGCCUUUCGCUGUGGUAGCUGUGAUGGUGCCUUCCCACAACUGGCCAGCCUGUUGGCUCACCAGCAGUGCCACGUGGAGGAGGCGGCAGCUGGACGCCCACCACCUCAGGCUGAAGUUGCAGAAGUCACCUGUCCCCAGGAACCUGUAGCCCCAGCCACUCCUGCUCCACCUCCUCCUCCACCUGCCCCAGUUUCUGCAGAGCGGCCCUACAAAUGUGCAGAGUGUGGCAAGGCCUUCAAGGGUUCUUCCGGGCUGCGCUACCACCUGCGGGACCA